rnacentral:rRNA from 1 species
CCAGACAGCCAGGAUGUUGGCUUAGAAGCAGCCAUCAUUUAAAGAAAGCGUAAUAGCUCACUGGUCGAGUCGGCCUGCGCGGAAGAUGUAACGGGGCUAAACCAUGCACCGAAGCUGCGGCAGCGAACGUAUCACUUAAAGCGAUUCAGCGGGUUACGAUUGACGGAGCGAAGCGACGUCAAAGCGUAUACAAAGUCGAGUCGGUUUAAGGAUACGUUCGUUGGGUAGGGGAGCGUUCUGUAAGCCUGUGAAGGUGGCCUGUGAGGGUUGCUGGAGGUAUCAGAAGUGCGAAUGCUGACAUAAGUAACGAUAAAGCGGGUGAAAAGCCCGCUCGCCGGAAGACCAAGGGUUCCUGUCCAACGUUAAUCGGGGCAGGGUGAGUCGACCCCUAAGGCGAGGCCGAAAGGCGUAGUCGAUGGGAAACGGGUUAAUAUUCCCGUACUUGGUGUUACUGCGAAGGGGGGACGGAGAAGGCUAUGUUGGCCGGGCGACGGUUGUCCCGGUUUAAGCGUGUAGGUGUGUGUUCCAGGUAAAUCCGGUUCACUUUAACACUGAGGCGUGAUGACGAGGCACUACGGUGCUGAAGCAACAAAUGCCCUGCUUCCAGGAAAAGCCUCUAAGCAUCAGGUAACAUCAAAUCGUACCCCAAACCGACACAGGUGGUCAGGUAGAGAAUACCAAGGCGCUUGAGAGAACUCGGGUGAAGGAACUAGGCAAAAUGGUGCCGUAACUUCGGGAGAAGGCACGCUGACAC